AGUGGGAAGUGGUGGGAAGAGAUGUGUCUGUGGACAUGAUUUCACUAUCUCACAUUCUCGAGAGCAAGCUCGAACACUUUUCACUGCUCCAGUAAAAUGGAUGAAUGUUUCUAUUAAAGCUGUGUAAGAUACCUGAAGUGGUCUAAAUGGUGGCAGGUAGCAUGUGAUGUAUUUUCCAGGUCUUGUUAAUAAAUGCUAUUCUUCAUGACUGAUCAAUGUCAUUCUUGCAGUUAAGUUUCAUUGCAUUUACUUUUUUGUUUCCAUAUAUGGAGAGAAAAUUAAAUACUCAUUAUGGGUCAUUAAUUGGCAGUUUUCACCUUAAUACUUGAAACAUCAGGCUGUGCAUUCAGCUGCAAAAUGCUAAAGAGCUCCAGCAUCUGAAAAGAAAAAAAAAACAAACCACCACUUCCCAUCUCAUUUUCUUAAUUAAAGCUUCUUCUUGAUAAUGAUUUGUGUAAAGUCCAAACCUCUGUUAGUGACAUCUUUUAUAAUCCUGAAUGAUGCUGCAGCGAAUUGAAGACCUCCGUUUUCAGUUUGAGGAUCAGCACUGCAAGUUGGGUUUUUUUCAUCAUAAAAUGCUGAAAAUGUAAUUAAGAAAGCUUCUCUACACGUUAUUUAACAUAUUUUGAAUAAAGCAUUUUAGAAACCGGGGGGG